AACGGCGGACAAAGAAGCGGCGGACAGCAACAGGGGAGGAAAGCACCCGGGAUGGCAGCGAGCCAAGCAGUAGUGGGAUAUCGCCUGACAAUUCAGG
rnacentral:SRP_RNA from 10 species